GACGAACGCUGGCGGCGUGCUUAACACAUGCAAGUCGAACGGAAAGGCCCUGCUUUUGUGGGGUGCUCGAGUGGCGAACGGGUGAGUAACACGUGAGUAACCUGCCCUUGACUUUGGGAUAACUUCAGGAAACUGGGGCUAAUACCGGAUAGGAGCUCCUGCUGCAUGGUGGGGGUUGGAUAGUUUCGGCGGUUGGGGAUGGACUCGCGGCUUAUCAGCUUGUUGGUGGGGUAGUGGCUUACCAAGGCUUUGACGGGUAGCCGGCCUGAGAGGGUGACCGGCCACAUUGGGACUGAGAUACGGCCCAGACUCCUACGGGAGGCAGCAGUGGGGAAUAUUGCACAAUGGGCGGAAGCCUGAUGAAGCAACGCCGCGUGCGGGAUGACGGCCUUCGGGUUGUAAACCGCUUUCGCCUGUGACGAAGCGUGAGUGACGGUAAUGGGUAAAGAAGCACCGGCUAACUACGUG
rnacentral:rRNA from 1 species